rnacentral:rRNA from 1 species
GUCUACAUGAAGUUAUAUGUAGUUUGGCCUGCCCAUUGAAUUUUUAAAAGGCCGCGGUAUUUUGACUGUGCAAAGGUAGCAUAAUAAUUAGUUUUUUAAUUGGGAGCUUGUAUGAAAGGUUGGACAAAGAAGUAACUGUCUUUAAUAUAUUAUUUGAAUUUUACAUUUAAGUGAAAAGGCUUAAAUUAUUUUAAGGGACGAUAAGACCCUAUAAAUCUUUACAUUUUUUUUUGUCUUUUUUUGUUUAGUUAACUUAAAAAUAAAAAACAAAAUAACAUGUUAUAUUGGGGUGAUAGAGAUAUAAAAUUUAAACUGUCUUUAAUAAUAUAAACAAAUAUAAUUGACUUAAAUUAAAGGAUCCUUUGUAGAGAUUAAAAGUUUAAGUUACUUUAGGGAUAACAGCGUAAUUUUUUUUGAGAGUUCAUAUCGAAAAAAAAGUUUGCGACCUCGAUGUUGAAUUAAAAUUUUCCUUAGGGUGUAGGAGCUAUAAAGGAGAGUCUGUUCGACUUUU